GAGAGAGAGAGAGAAAUAAGGCACAGCAUGAAAGCUUUCUUAAAUGUGGGGGAAGCCUGGGCUUGAAUCUGGGCUGCACACAUAGCAAAGCAGAGCACUACCCAGGUGAGUUAUUUGAUUUGAUUUGAUUUUACUUAUUAGAUACAUACAGAAAAACUGAGAGGGGGAGGUGGAGACAGAGAUAGAGAUAGAGACCUGUAGCACAUCUUCACUGCUCAUGAAGCUUCUCGCCUGCAGGUGGAGAGCUGAAGCUUGAAUCUGGGUCCUUGGGCAUGGUAACGUGUGUUCAACUGAGUACACCACUGCCCAGCACCUCAAGUGAGCUAUUUUUCUGAUCCCUAGACCAAGUUGGCAUACAAGAAUCAGAAGGAUGAAGGGUGAAACAAAGGAGACACACAAUCAACAAACAAAAACAGAAACUGGCCCCCGGGGAAUACUCGGAGACACAGAGCAACUGGCCUCCAGGAAUACACAUCCGGAGACACAGCAACUGAGUGACACAGCAAUUCCUGUGAGCCAUGCCUGAAUUCACCUCUGCCCUCCAACUGAUGAUGUGUAAAGAGUAUAGGCCCCACGACAGUGACGCCACCUCACACCGCCUCUAACGUCAUCUCACCCUACCUUUCCAUCCCUGCCCCCCCCCACAAAGAAAGGCCUUUUCCUCAAUAAAUCAAGUCACUGCCUUAACAGAAGUCCCAAAUUGGUG